UUCUUGGAGAGUUUGAUCCUGGCUCAGAACGAACGCUGGCGGCGUGCCUCAUACAUGCAAGUCGAACGAGAAAGCUCUUCGGAGUGAUUAGAGUGGCGCACGGGUGAGUAACACGUAGGCGACCUACCUUUUAGUGGGGAAUAACCAGUGGAAACGCUGGCUAAUACCACAUAUUCUGGUCGACAUUG
rnacentral:rRNA from 1 species